AAAGUUGUUGCAGUUAAAAAGCUCGUAGUUGGAUUCGGGACGGACGGUCGGUCCGCGCAAGGUGUGUCACUGGCCGGGCUGUUCUUCCUCGCAAAGACUGCGUGUGCUCUUAGCUGAGUGUGCGCAGGACUUGCGACGUUUACUUUGAAAAAAUUAGAGUGUUCAAAGCAGGCCAUCGCUUGAAUACAUAAGCAUGGAAUAAUGGAAUAGGACUUUGGUUCUAUUUUGUUGGUUUCUGGAACCGAAGUAAUGAUUAAGAGGGACAGUUGGGGGCAUUCGUAUUUCGUUGUCAGAGGUGAAAUUCUUGGAUUUACGAAAGACGAACUACUGCGAAAGCAUUUGCCAAGAAUGUUUUCAUUAAUCAAGAACGAAAGUUAGAGGAUCGAAGACGAUCAGAUACCGUCCUAGUUCUAACCAUAAACGAUGCCGACUAGGGAUCAGAGAGUGUUAUUGGAUGACCUCUUUGGCACCUUAUGGGAAACCAAAGUUUUUGGGUUCCG
rnacentral:rRNA from 1 species